rnacentral:pre_miRNA from 1 species
AACCCUUUAACGGUCAUUCAAACACCUGUCAGUCUUGCCUACAUACUCCUUACCACACUACUUAUGUAGACCAGACUGACAGGUGUUUGAAUGAUCGGUUAAAGGAGAAUUU